AAACUUGAGGUUGUCUAUGAAGGCACGAACCAAGUGAAAGAAUCUAAAAUAAGUAGGUACACUCGACAAUAUGAAUUGUUCCAAAUGGAACAAAAUGAAAAUGUGUACUCUAUGUAUACUAGAUUCACGGACAUAGUGAACACUCUAGGAGCCCUAGGAAAGACUUUUUCAAAUAGCGAAAAAGUCAAGAAAAUCAUUAGGUCUCUACCUAAGGAAUGGAGACCAAAAAGGACUGCCAUUGAGGAAGCCAAGGAUUUAAAUGUGUUACCUAUUGAUGAUUUAAUUGGCUCUCUUAUUUCAUAUGAAGAAGAUUUGGCAGCUGAAAAAGGGCAUGAGGAAAAGAAGAAGAACAUUGCUCUCAAGGCUUCAAAACGUGAGAGUGAUGAGGAAAGCGAAAUGGAUGAUGAGGAGUUGGCUAUGUUAGCUAGAAGAUUCAGAAAAUU
rnacentral:lncRNA from 1 species